rnacentral:rRNA from 1 species
GACGGGACCGCACAAGCGGUGGAUGAUGUGGAUUAAUUCGAUGCAACGCGAAAACCUUACCUACCCUUGACAUGUCCAGAACCCUCGAGAGAUUGAGGGUGCCUUUCGGGAGCUGGAACACAGGUGCUGCAUGGCUGUCGUCAGCUCGUGUCGUGAGAUGUUGGGUUAAGUCCCGCAACGAGCGCAACCCUUGUCAUUAGUUGCUACAUUCAGUUGGGCACUCUAAUGAGACUGCCGGUGACAAACCGGAGGAAGGUGGGGAUGACGUCAAGUCCUCAUGGCCCUUAUAGGUGGGGCUACACACGUCAUACAAUGGAUGGUACAAAGGGUCGCCAACCCGCGAGGGGGAGCCAAUCCCAUAAAGCCAUUCGUAGUCCGGAUCGCAGUCUGCAACUCGACUGCGUGAAGUCGGAAUCGCUAGUAAUCGUGGAUCAGAAUGUCACGGUGAAUACGUUCCCGGGUCUU